AUGCGGACUCGCUUCCUCGCCGCCGACUACUUCUCCCCGCCGCCGCCGGCCUCCUGCUCGGACCAAGCCCUAGCCCUAGCGUCCUUGCGCUUCCCUCCUCUCCCCAUCCCCUCGCUUCCGCCCGAUCCGCAUUUCCCGCUCCCCCUCCCUUUCCCCGCCGCGGCCGACCUCCCCACAGUCAGCAUCUCGGGCGGCGAUCUCGACUCUCUCCCCAUAUCCUCCGCGCUAUCUGAGUUCCUCGCGGCCGUUAUUCCGCAGGCCCUGCCUGUGCCGGCUAUCCCCGCCGCCGACGAGGGAUUGGAUGAUUUCCUCUACGACAGGGGCGGGUAUCGCAAGGGUUUUAGCUUGAGGGAGUCUGUUGCAUUCAAAAUCCCUGAUGGAUUGGACGAGAUUAGCCGCGAGAAGGAUGGAAAGGGAGACGGAUCCAGGUCAUAUAGAUUGGGGACCUCCACUGACACGAAGAGAUGGGAACUGCUGAAGGAGCACAUAUUUGAGGUUGUAGAGGUCGAUCUCCCGCAGAUUUUGGAAGGACACGUUGCAUCCUUUGGUGGUGACGAGUCUGGUGAUGGUGGCACCUUAUUGUUUCGUGUUCCAGAUGCGAAAAUCCAGUUGGAUUUCAUUGAUAUUGACACUGAGAUGACAUUAAGCUAUCCAACUGAACUUGCGGAUUCAAUUUAUCAAGUAGAGAAAAUCCCUGUGAAGCAUAAUGACGAGGAACAUUUGUCUGCAAGGAAUAUUAACUUUUUGGAGAUUGCAGCAUUAGAUUGUGGUGUAACAAUACCACUACUGGAGGUUCAUAGGCAUUCUUGGGAGCUUAAUGGGUGUCCCACUAAGGCAGAGAUAUCUAAUAUUUUUCAUAACCUUGUUGAACAUUUGAGUGAAGCACAAGUUCAGCAUCCAGCGUUGAACUCAACCGAGUUCUCAAGAUCAACUGAUAUGGACAUGUUGGCCUUUGUUUCCAAAGAUGCCCCAUGUGCAGACUAUCAAGCAGAUAAACCAAUAACAGUUAAGGCUGCAGUAGAGAUGGAUCUUGUGAGGAUCAAUGAUAAUCUUCUACUUGAGAGAAACUCAGCAUUGUACCCUCUCAAGCCUGAUGGCACCUUUUCAGAUUUGCCUUGCUCAGUUCUUUUAGAAGAAGCACAGAUCAUUGAUUUCCCUUCAGAGGAUGUCUUCAAAAUGCUUGUUCAGUCAGAUGCAGCUGAGCUGAAUACAUCUGAUGAAAUAUUCAAAGACGACUUCGAUCCAGCAAGGCGUUUCUAUGAAUCAGUGGUUAGCUCUGAGUUGGUGCUGGUUGACGAUACAUUCAGAUCACUACCUACACCUAUUUUAUCUGAUGAUGAUAUGACACUGAGGUCUAUGGUCCCCUCCAUAGGAGAAGUACUUUGCUCCCUGAAAACUUAUUCACUCUCUGCAGCCGACAGAAUUUAUUUGGACUGGCAUCUUUUAUUGGAAGGUCCAUGCAACCGGGAGAUAUGCUCUACCUAUGCAAUCAUGGUUGAGGAGGUAAAAAGUUGCCACUUCAAUUCUGAGAUGCAAGUCAAUUGUCAGCAGACAUCAGCACUUGGUUUUGAUUUUCUUGAGUAUUUUUGGGGAAGUGCAAAACACCAAGAUGAGGACAAGCAGAACAAUAUUUAUGUGCCUACCCCUCUACCUCAUGAUCCACCUCCUGCAGUGGAAACAGCUCAAAAAUACAGACAAGAAAGUGAUACUGAAGGCCACGGCCACAUGGAAAAGCCAAGUUUAGGAAAGGCAGCUUCGUUAUUCAAGUCAAUGUCACAAUCCAGUGACAUAAAUUUCUACUUGAACGUCAGAAGCGGCACCAAGAGAGGAACUAAUGAUGAAAAUAUUUCUACUUUAGAUAUCCCUACUUUAAAUGAACAAGCAGCUUCUUUUCCAAGCAGGUCUAAAGUUGACAAGCUCAUAGAAAUUCAUCCUGUCAACCUUUCAGAUUCUAUCCGAGCCCUUAUCAAACAAAUCCAUAGAAGCUAUACAACUGCUUUGCAAGAAAGUGCAUAUUUGAGGCAUACUUUCUCGGAUGGGCAUUUAAGCAUUCCGAAGCAGAAGCUUCUUGGACUGAUAACUGGAGAUGGUUCAGAUGGCUUUGAUAAUCACUGUAAACAUGAAGAUAAGAUGGAACUCAUUGUACUCUAUGGUUUAAAACAGGUUGCAUAUUAUCUAUGUUUCUUUGGUUUGCAUGCUGGCCAUCUGUACAUAAGCAACCUGAUUGGAAGCUUUGAAAAUAUUCCUGAGAGGUUAAGAAAUAUUCAUAGUUUCAUUGGUGAAGCACUGUGGAAAGCUGAGAAGCAUCAGAUUGACUCUCACCCAUCAUUGCAUGACAUUGAAAUGAUCCUGAGGUCUAAUACACACACCAGCCAACAGAUCCUUAUAGUUGCCGAUACAGCUUUCUGGCUGCCAUUGGGUCAAAAAUUAACUUCGAUGAAGAUGACAUUUGUUGAGCUAGGAAAAGACCCUGCUGCAGCUUAUUUAGAUCCGGUGGACAAGCCAAACCCUACAACUUGGGUGCUCAGAGGAUUGCCGAAAUCAGACUGCAUUCUGCUAGAUAAUAAGAACAUUCCAGCUUCAUUCCCUUUCAAUGAGUUUGGCAUCGUACUGGAAUACGGAGGUCCAGAUAAAUUAUCUACCUUGUUGUCUCUGGCUCCUAAUUUAGAUGGUUUUCCACAACUGCAUUUCCUCUAUGUCAAAGUGGAUGUUGAAGAUCCUUCGGUUGCACUUGUUGAGGACAACCCUACUGACCAGGAGUUGAGAGCCACACUGGAUACGGUUUUGCAUGCACUUCAGAAAGAUCUGCAAGAGAAGAUGAACAAGAUGCGUAUUGUUGAUUCAUUGAACUUUAUACCAGCAACUAAUCAGCUGCAAGGACGGCAGGAAAAUCUCUGCAAAUAUAUCACUGCUGAUUCAACAAAAAUAUUGCCUGCAGAUGAUCAACUGCUCAAACAAGAAAAUUUGGAGAAAGAGUUUGUUGAUGCACAUAAUUUUGUUCCUACAGCUGAACAGCGGCACAUAGAGGAAAUGUUGAGCAAAAGAACUAUCCUCCAUUCACAACAUUUUGUGCCUACAGUUGAGAAGAGCAGCUCUACUUCUUCUGUAUCUGCAAAUGUGAUCAAGGCCCCACAAGACAAUCUAUCUGGUACUGACUUGCCUUCCGGUGUAAAAGUUGGUCGCCUCACUCCAGGAAGAUUAUCCACCCCGGCGGUUGUUGUAAAUACUGGAAGUCAUGGAAAGAAUAUGCUUUUCUCUCGGAGAUCAUCUUAUCAGCAGAUACUAUCUUUGGAGAAAGGAGGAAUGCAGGUUGUGGAACGAGACGUUGAUCUUCCUGUGGACCUAAUACUCAGUGCUGCAGCUUGCCUAGUAUGGUUUGAGACAAAAAUCUUUGGGAGCAAUGAAUUCACAGCAUCGGCAGAGACAUCUAGUAUAACAAAUUUUGUAGAGAUCAUUGCGACCAACAUUCUGAUGUCAAUUAGCUUCUGUUUCUGUGGUUGUAUAAUGGUCUUUGAAGGUGAACCUCACCCCCUUUCUGCUGUAAUGGAGUCAUCUGAUUCUCUAUAUGCUGCAGCUGCUAGUCUGAUGAUGAACGUGCAGAUAUUCUUCUCAUGCACACCCAAGUCAACAGAUGAGAUAGUUCUUAGUUGCAUUAGGAAUGUGAACAUGUUGAAUAAAGCUCCUUCUCCAGAUAUACCUGAAUCAGAAAGCUUGGCUGAAUCAUUUUUCACAAAAUUCCCUUCAAUCAAUCCCUUGUCUGCAUACAGUAUGCUUUCUUGUGGAGGCAGCCUUGUGGAGUUCCUCAGUUGGUCACAUGAGUGUCGUAUACAGGCUGUUGAGAAGUAUCUCUUGUCCCCGCAGAGCAUUUCUCUGUUCAAUGCUUUGUGCAAAUUCGGUGAGCUAGGUGAAUCUAGGUCUGUGAUGACUGAAGGCUCUUCUGUAGAUUCAGACAUCUGUAGUGCAUUGUUGCAGUCUCCAAGUAAAAGGAAAAGGUGCGCCUCUCAAGUUUUUGCAGUACCAACUAGUGAUCCCCUCCAUCCGGAUCCUCUAAACCAAUUGCCUGGUGAUUAUGUAGAACAUAACAAUGUAUUCUCACAGCCUAAGUUGAGGAGGUUCUCCGACACGGAGGAUGCAAUGCCUCAGCUCCCAGAGGUCUUUAUGUUCGAUCAAAGUUUGAGUAGGGGAGGUGAGGGGGUCUCUUGUCUGCCAAGAAAACACGGUAUUGAUGCAAUAACUGGCAAUCAGAUCAUGAGUGAUCAUAUCAGCAAUGGAUUGACUGCAGAUACGAGGCAUUGUAACCGAAGAAGGGCUAACAAUAUGGUGGACACAUAUGACUUCUCUUGGCAACCGGAAUCAGGGGGUAAAGAACCUAUCAAAAGCUCUUUUCCGGCAAGCGAACCAUCAUUCAGCAGAAGUUACAGUCAUCCAGUAUUUCCAUCUGCAUUGGAGAUCAAUGAUGAUACUGGUUACUGGGACAUUUCAGGAGGUGCACAUGACACUUGGAAGGGUCAUGUACAUGGGGGUAUUGCCUCAACCUCUUGCAGAAAUGAUGUGGGCAGCAGAUAUCAUGAGCCAACAGAGGAAAUAAUGCAGAAGGGUCAUGUACAUGGGGGUAUUGCCUCAACCUCUUGCAGAAAUGAUGUGGGCAGCAGAUAUCAUGAGCCAACAGAGGAAAUAAUGCAGAAGGGUCAUGUACAUGGGGAUAUUGCCUCAACCUCUUGCAGAAAUGAUGUGGGCAGCAGAUAUCAUGAGCCAAGAGAGGAAAUAAUGCAUAAUCCAGGAAGUUCGCUUGCUUUUCUGAAACAGGAUUCUGGCUUUCAUGCGACUCCACAUGGCUCAAGCUGGGAAAUUGAUUAUCUAAGGCAAAUGAACGAAAAAAGAAGAGCACGUGAGGAGAGAUCAAGAUGUAAUACAUCAGGGAUGAGGGACGGGGCCGCUAAGAUUAUAAAUCCUCCACUUAUUGGAUCCUUCAGAUACCAAGGAGAUGGAGAUACUCCUUCGAGGAACCGGAGCCCAUCUGUGGGAACUCACCAUCAUAAGAAAGCCAGAGAAGAAACUAAAGCACAUACCCAUAGAGCAAGAAAAGAUUUCAAGAUGCAACCAAGUGUAAGUCACGAAAACAGGAUAGAGCCGUCCAUAUAUCCAUCGUGGACUCCCAUUGACAAGAGAGCCAGACAGAAACUUUCAUUUGCAACAUACGGGAAGGAGAAGCAAAGCAAGUUGGUCUGGAGAGACCCAAAUAGCUCUGGUGCUGAGUGUGGCUUCCGGAAAAGAUACCGGGAAGAAGGUACGUAG
rnacentral:rRNA from 1 species